CUUUACGUAAAAGCUGGAGCAAUUUUGGUCAAAAUUCUGCUAAAGUAGACGUGUUCGUGUUAUGCUUCCAACGAAGAUUAGUGCUGUGUAAGACGACUUCAGAAAUGGAAUGGCAGCUUGACACUCAGCUUUACCUACGUGAGCGCCUCUAUAUAAUUUGAGGAACACACUUACUUCUCUUUCACAACACUUUUGCGUACCCCAACACUCAUAUAGUAGACCAACAAAUAAAAGAAAACAAAUAAAAAAACUUAUCUGCGGAGUCACAGGCUGCAAGUGAACAGGAGGAGGAGAAAUGCCCUCAUAUUUAAAAAAUUAUCAAGAUGCCAAGGAGGACGGCUGCUGAGCGUAGUAGAAAAUGAGAAGAGUUCAUAGGUAGAUGAAUUUUCAAUAGAGUCCAGAAGUUACAGAUGAAUUUUCAAUAGAGUCCAGAAGUUACUUAUUGAUUUAGGAUGCACUAAGGAGGUUCUCGUUGAUUUCCAAUCCAAUAUUGGAGUUAGCCGUGGUUUCAGUUAAGUGAAGCAUUAUGUAGUAGCGACCCCGGAGCUAGCGAUGCCGGAGACUCUUGCAGGGCGGAAAAUAAUUCUUAAAGACGUGAAACAUCGAGGCAGAUGAAAACUCUAUUCAUGGAGGAGAGACUAAAAUUUCUUCUUAACGGCACCAGUACUAGGCAUCACCCUUCGUUGCAUUUUUCUAUUUUAAUUAUCUUUGAGUAACU